rnacentral:misc_RNA from 1 species
AGUCACAACUCCACAAAAACCAUGGCAGACGCAGCAGCAUCGCCAGCUUCGAUGUGGGGUUUCGCGACCGGCUGGUUUACACCCGCCAAUCUUUUCUUAUUCGUCAAUCUGGUGAUUGGCACCAUUGCCCUUACCUCCCGUUUCGGCUCCAACAGAAGACAACAUCAAGAGGAAAUUCAACCUCUCGCUAGAACCCCUUCCCUCUUAGAGCGAGUCAAGUCCAUCAACUUUUCAUUCUACAACCACCCACUGCCUGACUCUGAACCGCAAGUAGAACCCACAACGGACUCAGUGCAUGACACCGAGCCAGAGUGCACAACUGAGGUUCAUACGGUUCAACUCGAACGAGCCCCCUCAUUCUUAGAUCGGGUUAAGUCCAUCAAGUUGUCUUCUUUCUAUAGAUCCGAACCAGAAACCGAAAUUGUUGCUGAAGCUGAUUCGGAUCCAGAUGUGGAAGGGAAGCAUCAGGUAAAGAGGAGUAAAUCGGAGCCUAGGGAAGCUUCGGAGAAGAAAGCGCCUGAGAAGAUGAAGAAAUCAGCAAGCGAAAGAGAGGUGGUCGUAGAGGAGGACAGAGAGAGAGUGGAGCGGAGGAGGCCUGCAACGACGAGGAUAGAAAAGACGGCGUCGUUUGGAGACGAAGGGGUUGACGCGAAAGCCGAUGACUUCAUCAACAGGUUUAAGCAGCAAUUAAGGUUGCAGAGGCUGGAUUCGCUCUUGCGUUACAGAGACAUGCUCAACGGAAAGUAGGGGAAUGACAGAAAUGACCCUGUUCUGUUGUUUUUGCAGUUUCUUUGUAUUAAAAAAGUUUGAUUGUGGUGGAUGAUGCAGGUGUUUCAAGAUUUCGAAUCUUUGUUGUUGCUUACUUGGUUUGUAUUAAAAAAGGCGUUCAUGCCUUUAGUGGUAUAAUUUGCAUGUCAUGACUCAUGUGGCUACUAAAGUUGAUUAAUGCUUAUUCAUGAUUGAAUGGUA